AUACGUAGGUGGCAAGCGUUGUCCGGAUUUAUUGGGCGUAAAGCGAGCGCAGGCGGUUUCUUAAGUCUGAUGUGAAAGCCCCCGGCUCAGCCGGGGAGGGUCAUUGGAAACUGGGAGACUUGAGUGCAGAAGAGGAGAGUGGAAUUCCAUGUGUAGCGGUGAAAUGCGUAGAUAUAUGGAGGAACACCAGUGGCGAAGGCGGCUCUCUGGUCUGUAACUGACGCUGAGGCUCGAAAGCGUGGGGAGCAAACAGGAUUAGAUACCCUGGUAGUCCACGCCGUAAACGAUGAGUGCUAAGUGUUGGAGGGUUUCCGCCCUUCAGUGCUGCAGCAAACGCAUUAAGCACUCCGCCUGGGGAGUACGACCGCAAGGUUGAAACUCAAAUGAAUUGACGGGG
rnacentral:rRNA from 1 species